AGCGGCGAACGGGUGAGUAACACGUGGGUGAUCUGCCUGGAAGCCUGGGACAACAGCUGGAAACGGCUGCUAAUACCGGAUGAAGUCUAUCAUUCGUUUGAUAGACCAAAGAAUUUCGCUUCCAGAUGAGCCCGCGGCCCAUUAGCUAGUUGGUGGGGUAAGGGCCUACCAAGGCGACGAUGGGUAGCCGGUCUGAGAGGAUGGUCGGCCACACUGGAACUGAGACACGGUCCAGACUCCUACGGGAGGCAGCAGUGGGGAAUUUUGCGCAAUGGGCGAAAGCCUGACGCAGCGACGCCGCGUGAGUGACGAAGGCCUUCGGGUUGUAAAGCUCUGUUGAGGGGGAAGAUAAUGACGGUACCCCUUAAGAAAGCCCCGGCUAACUACGUGCCAGCAGCCGCGGUAAGACGUAGGGGGCGAGCGUUGUCCGGAAUUACUGGGUGUAAAGGGCGUGUAGGCGGCUAAGUAAGUCAGCUGUGAAAUUCCCCGGCUCAACUGGGGGCCUGCAGUUGAAACUACUUAGCUUGAGUGCAGGAGAGGAAGGUGGAAUUCCCAGUGUAGCGGNGAAAUGCGUAGAUAUUGGGAGGANCACCGGUGGCGAANG
rnacentral:rRNA from 1 species